UAAAAGAUAAGCUAACUAAGCUAUUGGGUUCAUACCCCACUUAUAGGGACCCUAAAUUCCCUUCUUUUA
rnacentral:tRNA from 1 species